rnacentral:rRNA from 1 species
UACACACCGCCCGUCACACCAUGGGAGUUGGCAUUACCCGAAGACGGUGCGCUAACCGCAAGGAGGCAGCCGGCCACGGUAGGGUCAGCGACUGGGGUG